rnacentral:rRNA from 1 species
AAGCUUUAUCUGCUUAAAUAGACAAAUUGCUUUCAGCAAUAUGAAAUUGAGCAAUAACAGGUCCGUGAUGCCCUUAGAUGUUCUGGGCGGCACGCGAGUUACAAUGAAGCUGACAACGUGUUACCUUAUCCGAGAGGAUUGGGAAAUCACUUAGCCAGCUUCCUAGUUGGGAUUGUGGACUGAAAAAGUUCACAUGAACCAGGAACUCCUAGUAAGUGUGAGUCACUAGCUUGCAUUGAUUACGACCCUGAUCUUUGUACACACCGCCCGUCGCUAUUACCGACGAAUUAUUUAGUGAGAUCUCUGGAGGUAAACAUUGCGGUGCCUCGGUAUCGCGAUUGCUUUUGCCAAAGUUGAUCAAACUUGAUGAUUUGGAGGAAAUAAAAGUCGUAACAAGGUUUCCGUAGGUGAACCUGCGGAAGGAUCAUUA